AGCGAACGCUGGCGGCAGGCCUAACACAUGCAAGUCGAGCGCCGUAGCAAUACGGAGCGGCAGACGGGAGAGUAACACGUGGGAACGUACCCUUUGGUUCGGAGCAACCCAGGGAAACUUGGGCUAAUACCGGAUAAGCCCUCACGGGGAAAGAUUCAUCGCCGAAGGAUCGGCCCGCGUCGGAUUAGCUAGUUGGUGGGGUAAUGGCCCACCAAGGCGACGAUCAGUAGCUGGUCUGAGAGGAUGAUCAGCCUCACUGGGACUGAGACACGGCCCAGACUCCUACGGGAGGCAGCAGUGGGGAAUAUUGGACAAUGGGCGCAAGCCUGAUCCAGCCAUGCCGCGUGGGUGAUGAAGGCCCUAGGGUUGUAAAGCCCUUUCGGCGGGGAAGAUAAUGACGGUACCCGCAGAAGAAGCCCCGGCUAACUUCGUGCCAGCAGCCGCCGUAAAAC
rnacentral:rRNA from 1 species